CUGCUAUGCUUUAGCGUAUCAACGGGGCUGACUAAUCGGCUCGAUCUUUAUCGUAAUCGUAGAAAGAAGAACUGGCCUCGCGUCAGAUAUUGGUUGCGCUGAUCGGCGGCUUGCAACAUCACAUCUGGAACGACCGAUCUAUGAAUAUAGAGCUUUCCGCAAAGACGUCAAGAAAGCUUUUUUAAGAUUGUUAAAGGGUUUGAGCGUAGAGAAAGAAAGGGAACUAAAAGAGUCUAUCGCUCAUGCAUUUCCUUAAGGCAGGAAUAGUGACUCAGCUUAGCCA